rnacentral:tRNA from 2 species
AUCUUUCUAGUAUUAGGUUAGUACAAAUGACUUCCAAUCAUUUAGUCUUGGUUAAACUCCAAGGAAAGAUA